rnacentral:rRNA from 1 species
UACGGGGGGGGCAAGCGUUGUUCGGAAUUACUGGGCGUAAAGGGCGCGUAGGCGGUUCGCUAAGUUGAAUGUGAAAACUCUGGGCUUAACCCAGAGCCUGCAUUCAAUACUGGCGGGCUAGAGUUCUGGAGGGGAUAGCGGAAUUCCUGGUGUAGCGGUGAAAUGCGCAGAUAUCGGGAGGAACACCAAUGGCGAAGGCAGCUCGCUGGGACGUGACUGACGCUGAGACGCGAAAGCGUGGGGAGCAAACAGG